rnacentral:rRNA from 1 species
CGCGAAUAGCUCAUUACAACAGCUAUAAUUUACUUGAUCUUGACUUCCUACUUGGAUAACUGUGGUAAUUCUAGAGCUAAUACAUGCACCAAAGCUCCGACCUUACGGGAAGAGCGCAUUUAUUCGAACAAAACCAAGCGGCUUCGGCCGUCCGCAGUUGACUCAGAAUAACUAAGCUGAUCGCAUGGUCUUGAACCGGCGACGUGUCUUUCAAGUAUCUGCCUUAUCAACUUUCGAUGGUAGUGUAUCUGACUACCAUAGUGGUGACGGGUAACGGAGGAUAAGGGUUCGACUCCGGAGAAGGGGCCUGAGAAAUGGCCACUACGUCUAAGGAUGGCAGCAGGCGCGCAAAUUACCCACUCUCAGAAUGAGGAGGUAGUGACGAGAAAUAACGAGACCGUUCUCUACGAGGCCGGUCAUCGGAAUGGGUACAAUUUAAACCCUUUAACGGGUAUCUAUGAGAGGGCAAGUCUGGUGCCAGCAGCCGCGGUAAUUCCAGCU